rnacentral:lncRNA from 1 species
AAUUAUGCCAUCCAGCAGGCCACCUAAUAUAUGACCCCAUAUUGCAGAAGCUACAUAUACAGUAUUGAUAGUUAAUUUGGUUCCCUCCCAAACAUACAAGAAGUAUUUGCCACUGGAUGUAAAACAAACAACAACCAAUCAAUUUAAAAAAAAAAAUUAAAAACCUAAUUGUAUUUGAAUCAAAGAGUAUAUGAAAGAGGGGCAAAAUAUACCAGAGGGACAACAACAUGGCUAAAAAAGAUAAAAGACAAACAGACAAAUAAUAGUACACCAGACACA